GUCAGCAGCCAUAUCACUCUGCAACUCAGAACUGGCAACCCACUGAAGCUAAGCAGGUGUGAGCCUUUUCAGUACCUGGAUGGGAGACCUCCUGGGAAAAACUAAGGUUGCUGCCGGAA
ensembl:rRNA 5S_rRNA 5S ribosomal RNA